rnacentral:rRNA from 1 species
GAUCAUGGCUCAGGAUGAACGCUGGCGGCGUGCCUAAUACAUGCAAGUCGAGCGAAUGGAUUGAGAGCUUGCUCUCAAGAAGUUAGCGGCGGACGGGUGAGUAACACGUGGGUAACCUGCCCAUAAGACUGGGAUAACCCCGGGAAACCGGGGCUAAUACCGGAUAAUAUUUUGAACUGCAUGGUUCGAAAUUGAAAGGCGGCUUCGGCUGUCACUUAUGGAUGGACCCGCGUCGCAUUAGCUAGUUGGUGAGGUAACGGCUCACCAAGGCAACGAUGCGUAGCCGACCUGAGAGGGUGAUCGGCCACACUGGGACUGAGACACGGCCCAGACUCCUACGGGAGGCAGCAGUAGGGAAUCUUCCGCAAUGGACGAAAGUCUGACGGAGCAACGCCGCGUGAGUGAUGAAGGCUUUCGGGUCGUAAACUCUGUUGUUAGGGGAGAACAAGUGCUAGUUGAAUAAGCUGGCACCUUGACGGUACCUAACCAGAAAGCCACGGCUAACUACGUG